rnacentral:rRNA from 1 species
GUCUUUAAGAUUUUAAUUUUAAGUCUAAUCUGCCCAAUGAAAUUUUAAAUGGCUGCAGAAUUUUCUGUACUAAGGUAGCAUAAUAAUUUGUUUUUUAAUUAAAAACUAGAAUGAAAGAUUAAAUGAGAUAUAAACUGUUUCAAUUAAAUUAUAAUUUAAUUUUUUAUUUAAGUAAAAAAACUUAAAUAAAUUUUAAAGACGACAAGACCCUAUAGAAUUUUAUUUAUUUAAUUUAUAAAUUUAUAUUAAAUAAAUUUUAUUGGGGUAAUAAAAAAAUUUAAUUAAUUUUUUUUAUAUAUAACAUACUUUUAUGAUCAAAAAUAUCUUAAUCUUUAAAUUAAAAAAAUUAAUUACCUUAGGGAUAACAGCAUAAUUUUUUUUGAAAGAUCUUAUUUAUAAAAAAGAUUAU